rnacentral:rRNA from 1 species
AUUGAACGCUGGCGGCAUGCCUUACACAUGCAAGUCGAACGGUAACAGGUCUUCGGAUGCUGACGAGUGGCGAACGGGUGAGUAAUACAUCGGAACGUGCCUAGUAGUGGGGGAUAACUACUCGAAAGAGUGGCUAAUACCGCAUACGCUCUACGGAGGAAAGCCGGGGACCGCAAGGCCUGGCACUGAUAGAUGAGCCCAAGCCGGAUUAGCGAGGUGGCGGGGUAACGGCCCACCAAGGCGACGAUCCGUAGCUGGUCUGAGAGGACGAUCAGCCACACUGGGACUGAGACACGGCCCAGACUCCUACGGGAGGCAGCAGUGGGGAAUAUUGGACAAUGGGGGAAACCCUGAUCCAGCGACGCCGCGUGGGUGAAGAAGGCCUGCGGGUUGUAAAGCCCUUUCGGUAGGGACGAAAGCUCUCGACCUAACAUGUCGGGAGGUUGACUUAACCUACAAAAGAAGCACCGGCUAACUCUGUGCCAGCAGCCGCCGUAAAAC